UCCCUGGUAGCUGAGUUGGUAAAGAAUCUGUCUGCAACACAGGAGACCCUGGUUUGAGUCCCGGGUUGGGAA
rfam:Ovis aries breed Texel chromosome 2, whole genome shotgun sequence.